CAAGAUCCCGGUAAUUAUCAAGAGAACAAGCCCAAAUGAGAUAUCGAGAGAAGACCAACCCUGGAGUCAAGUGCAUUACUAUCAGUGUUCGUCACACAUAGGUGACCGUGGCGCAUGGAGUACAGAGGGCGUGCUGGGAACCGCAGAGUUGGCGUUUCGAACCCUGGCUGCUCCACGUCCCAUGUGGAAGUACUUGAGAAAGACACCCAACUCCUACUGCUCCCACUGUGUGGGAUGGGUUAUACAUGUAAACCACAGCUUAAAAUGUAAACCAUCAUUUGCAAUGCAAAUGCGUCAACUUUAAUGACAGCAAUGUAAGUCGCUUUGGAUAAAAGUGUCAGCUUGAAUGACAUGUAAAUAAACCUGCCUCAACUACA